UACGGGGGGGCAAGCGUUGUUCGGAAUUACUGGGCGUAAAGGCGUGUAGGCGGCCAACUAAGUCCGACGUGAAAUCCCCAGGCUUAACCUGGGAACUGCGUCGGAUACUGGAUGGCUUGAAUCCGGGAGAGGGAUGCAGAAUUCCAGGUGUAGCGGUGAAAUGCGUAGAUAUCAGGAGGAACACCGGUGGCGAAGGCGGGACAUCCCGUGGAC
rnacentral:rRNA from 1 species